AAACCGGUGGGAUCCAACCAUCCCUUUCAAGGAAGAGGUCAUGGGUUCGAAUCCCAUCCGGGCUA
rnacentral:tRNA from 1 species